CAAGUCGAGCGAUGAAGUUUCUUCGGAAAUGGAUUAGCGGCGAACGGGUGAGGAACACGUGAAGAAUCUGCCCUCCACUUUGGGAUAACACCGGGAAACCGGUGCUAAUACCGAAUAUUGAAACAUAAGUGGCAUCACUGAGUUUUGAAAGAAUUUCGGUGGAGGAUGACUUCGCGGCCUAUCAGCUAGUUGGUGAGGUAAUGGCUCACCAAGGCAACGACGGGUAGCCGGCCUGAGAGGGCGACCGGCCACACUGGGACUGAGACACGGCCCAGACUCCUACGGGAGGCAGCAGUGGGGAAUAUUGGGCAAUGGAGGAAACUCUGACCCAGCGACGCCGCGUGCGGGAUGAAGGCCUUCGGGUUGUAAACCGCUUUCAGUAGGGAAGAAGCGAAAGUGACGGUACCUACAAAAGAAGCACCGGCUAACUAUGUGCCAGCAGCCGCGGUAAUACAUAGGGUGCAAGCGUUGUCCGGAAUUAUUGGGCGUAAAGAGCUCGUAGGUCGUUUGUUACGUCGGAUGUGAAAACCUGAGGCUCAACCUCAGGCCUGCAUUCGAUACGGGCAAACUAGAGUUUGGUAGGGGAGACUGGAAUUCCUGGUGUAGCGGUGGAAUGCGCAGAUAUCAGGAGGAACACCAAUGGCGAAGGCAGGUCUCUGGGCCAAUACUGACACUGAGGAGCGAAAGUCUGGGGAGCGAACAGGAUUAGAUACCCUGGUAGUCCAGACCGUAAACGGUGGGCACUAGUUGUGGGAACCUUCCACGGUUUCUGCGACGCAGCUAACGCAUUAAGUGCCCCGCCUGGGGAGUACGAUCGCAAGAUUAAACUCAAGGAAUUGACGG
rnacentral:rRNA from 1 species